rnacentral:misc_RNA from 1 species
ACCGACACCGGUCACCGGAACAGUAGAAUGUACGGAGUUGCUACGGGGAGGGUGUUACAGUUUCCUUAUUGGUCAUGGUUACUAGACUUGGGUUCGAUGUUUUGCCUUUUCAGGUUUUUUUCACUUAAUAUAUAUAUACAUAUAUGUGGACUUGAUAAAAGUGCGUUAAAAAUAUAAAAACUAUCAUUAAGUGCUCACCUGCAAGUUUGAAUAGAUUAAGCAGUUUAUUUAUAACAAACACUAAGUGUC